UACGAAGGGGGCUAGCGUUGUUCGGAAUUACUGGGCGUAAAGCGCGCGUAGGCGGUGAUCUUUGUCAGAGGUGAAAGCCCGGGGCUCAACUCCGGAAUUGCCUUUGAAACGGGAUCGCUAGAGUCCGAGAGAGGAUGGCGGAAUUCCUAGUGUAGAGGUGAAAUUCGUAGAUAUUAGGAAGAACACCGGUGGCGAAGGCGGCUAUCUGGACCGUAACUGACGCUGAGGCGCGAAAGCGUGGGGAGCAAACAGG
rnacentral:rRNA from 1 species